UUAGGAAACUUGGAGCCAAGAAUGAUGAAGAGGAUACUUGCCAGGAACAACGUGGCCAUAAACGGUUUCCCACUUCAGAAUCCUACACGGUACUUUCAGCGAAAUAUCAGGUGCUUUAGAUGUGGCCCAAUCCACCACUUACUCCCUUCUUCCAGAAAGUCCCAGAGAAGCUCCUGGACCCCCAGAUUCCAAGUGUAAGCAAGGUGUCCUCCCCGGACACCACGAACCCAGGUGGAGUCCCUACGAGCUGAAAACAAACAGCAAAAAUCAAUAAAGCAAUGGGCAUUUAAAGAACACCACCACCUGUGUCUACACAACUGGCUAUGCCUUUAGCUUUAGAAUAGCUCUUUAUUUGCUGAGCCUACACCGUAAAGGAGAAGAUGAUGAAUAUCUAAGUCAGUAUUGCUAAAAAUUGAGAAAUGGG
rnacentral:lncRNA from 1 species